CAGUCGCCACGGUAAUACAGAGGAUGCAAGCAUUAUCCGGAAUGAUUGGGCGUAAAGCGUCUGUAGGUGGCUUUUCAAGUCCGCCGUCAAAUCCCAGGGCUCAACCCUGGACAGGCGGUGGAAACUACCAAGCUGGAGUACGGUAGAGGGGGAUGGAAUUCCGCGUGUAGCAGUGAAAUGCGUAGAUAUGCGGAGGAACACCGAUGGCGAAGGCAAUCCCCUGGACCUGUACUGACGCUCAUGCACGAAAGCGUGGGGAGCAAGCAGGAUUAGAGACCCCCGUAGUCCCUGUCUCUUAUAC
rnacentral:rRNA from 1 species